AACGAACGCUGGCGGCAGGCCUAACACAUGCAAGUCGAGCGCCCCGCAAGGGGAGCGGCGGACGGGUGAGUAACGCGUGGGAACGUACCCUUUGCUACGGAAUAGCCUCGGGAAACUGGGAGUAAUACCGUAUGUGCCCUUCGGGGGAAAGAUUUAUCGGCAAAGGAUCGGCCCGCGUUGGAUUAGCUAGUUGGUGGGGUAAUGGCCUACCAAGGCGACGAUCCAUAGCUGGUCUGAGAGGAUGAUCAGCUACAUUGGGACUGAGACACGGCCCAAACUCCUACGGGAGGCAGCAGUGGGGAAUAUUGGACAAUGGGCGCAAGCCUGAUCCAGCCAUGCCGCGUGAGUGAUGAAGGCCUUAGGGUUGUAAAGCUCUUUCACCGGAGAAGAUAAUGACGGUAUCCGGAGAAGAAGCCCCGGCUAACUUCGUGCCAGCAGCCGCGGUAACAC
rnacentral:rRNA from 1 species